rnacentral:lncRNA from 1 species
UCACGACUGUAUCCCUUGAUACCAAGAACAAGGGCUUGCUGACCUGAGGAACGUAGGCAACGAGCUGCUUCCAGCCAUAUUUCCACCACUUGGGGAGAGACUGCCUGAGAAUGAGGCUAACAUAGAAGAAAGCAGAACAGAGAGAAGGCAAAGGGAGGCAAGUCCUGAUGACAUCACUUGAGCGCCUGGAUUCAACCAUUCCUGAAACCAUCAUUCCUGGUCUUUUCUGGUUAAGGAGCCAAUAGUGUCCCUCUUCCUAGCAUACACCUACUUGAGUUGGGUUCUAUUUCUUUGCAAACAAAAGCAACCUGGCUAACCUACACCUUCCAUUUCCACCGCUUUGAGACCUCUCCAUCCCAUAUUCUACCAUCAACUUGGUUUCAG